rnacentral:rRNA from 1 species
AUUGGGCGUAAAGCGCGUCUAGGUGGUUAUGUAAGUCUGAUGUGAAAAUGCAGGGCUCAACUCUGUAUUGCGUUGGAAAUUGCAUGACUAGAGUACUGGAGAGGUAAGCGGAACUACAAGUGUAGAGGUGAAAUUCGUAGAUAUUUGUAGGAAUGCCGAUGGGGAAGCCAGCUUACUGGACAGAUACUGACGCUAAAGCGCGAAAGCGUGGGUAGCAAACAGGAUUAGAUACCCUGGUAGUCCACGCCGUAAACGAUGAGUGCUAGGUGUUAGACCCUUUCCGGGGUUUAGUGCCGCAGCUAACGCAUUAAGCACUCCGCCUGGGGAGUACGACCGCAAGGUUGAAACUCAAAGGAAUUGACGGGGGCCCGCACAAGCGGUGGAGCAUGUGGUUUAAUUCGAAGCAACGCGAAGAACCUUACCAGGUCUUGACAUCCCUCUGACCGCUCUAGAGAUAGAGUUUUCCUUCGGGACAGAGGUGACAGGUGGUGCAUGGUUGUCGUCAGCUCGUGUCGUGAG